rnacentral:rRNA from 1 species
UAGCGCAGGAUGACCGGAGGUCUGGGGGAUAACAAACGGUGGUGUCACAAAAUCGGAGGCCACGACUGUUUACUAAAAACACAAUUCAGAGCAAUGAUGAAAAUCAUAGUAUUCUGGAUGAAAUUUGCCCGAUGCCAUUAACAUAAAAGAGGUAAUGGGAAACUGUUACUAAUUGAAAGUCUGGUUAAUAGCGGUCUUAACUAUGAGGAUCCUAAGGUAGCAAAAUCAGUUGGCCANUAAAUGUGGUCUGGUAUCAAUAGUGUAACGAUGGUCUCACUGUCUCUACAACUUGCUCAGUGAAANUGAAUUAUCCGUGCAGAU